rnacentral:misc_RNA from 1 species
AAGUCGUAACAAGGUUUCCGUAGGUGAACCUGCGGAAGGAUCAUUAAAUAAUCAAUAAUUUUGGCUCGUCGAUUAUUAUCUAUUUACUGUGAACUGUAUUAUUACUUGACGCUUGAGGGAUGCUCCACUGCUAUAAGGAUAGGCGGUAGAGAUGUUAACCGAGUCAUAGUCAAGCUUAGGCUUGGUAUCCUAUUAUUAUUUACCAAAAGAAUUCAGAAUUAAUAUUGUAACAUAGACCUAAAAAAUCUAUAAAACAACUUUUAACAACGGAUCUCUUGGUUCUC